rnacentral:tRNA from 3 species
GCCCGCAUAGCUCAGCUGGCAGAGCAGCUGAUUUGUAAUCAGCAGGUCACCCGUUCGAUCCGGGUUGCGGGCUCCA